CAGCAUUCUGUAGCAAUACAGGGUGUGGGCGCGUGGCGAACGGGUGCGUAACACGUGGAUAACCUUCCUUCAGGUGGGGAAUAACCCAGUGAAAAUUGGGCUAAUACCGCAUAACAUGACGAUGGCACAUGCUGUUGUCUUCAAAGGCGCAAGUCGCCAGAAGAGGGAUCCGCGGCCGAUUAGCUUGUUGGCGAGGUAAUGGCUCACCAAGGCAUUGAUCGGUAGCCGGACUGAGAGGUUGACCGGCCACACUGGAACUGAGACACGGUCCAGACUCCUACGGGAGGCAGCAGUGGGGAAUCUUGCACAAUGGACGAAAGUCUGAUGCAGCAACGCCGCGUGGGGGAUGAAGCUUCUCGGA
rnacentral:rRNA from 1 species